rnacentral:rRNA from 1 species
AAAAAUGUGUUGUUGUCUUCAAUGCACGUUUUCAAUAGAGUUGCAAUCUAUACUUCUCUGGACUACGAGACAGGGCAAACGAACUACAAUGUUCCUCUUUUUAAUCUACAAUACAAACACACACAAAUUACAGUGACGAGGGACUUAAAAAAUAAAUCCACAGUUUUGUUUGUGAAAUGCAAGUCGGUGCCAGCACACUGCAUGUCCAGUCCCCACAGCACUGCACCUGUGCACCCAUGGGAUGGCAGCCAAAAUCUGUAAAGCGGAAAAAAUGUCAACCCUGAGCAAAAUACACACAAAAAUCACUGUCUUCCUGCACCCCAUCUUCAAAAUACACACAAAAAUGAAACAAGUGGGCUGCAUCACAAGACUACACUCUUUUGCUUUUUCCUUGUUGAAUGUAGUGAACCACAAGACUCCUUCAAGUGGGCUGCAUCAACCCAUCUACCAUGGCGAAUACAGUUUCCAGACUACUCUUCAGAUGCAAGUUCUAACUGGCUGUUUAUAUAUUAUCGUGCUCCUUUGAUCAUUUCAGGAAGCCUGAAAUCUCAGCAUUCGGCCAAUGAUAAAGAUCCUUGGAUGCAUUAAAACAUGGGAAACUGUAAACCGAGCACACUAACCAAGAGCCUACUGUCUGCACCUUGAGCUCCACUCCGGUUCAUCUUUUCCAUCCGCGAUCAGGUGAUGUCUGCAGCCAAAGAAAUCAACUGCUAACCAUGAUUCAAAAACUCGGGUCAGGUAGUCAGAAAUCCAUGCUUGGAAAAAAAUCAGAUGCCUGUUAUCACAAUAAAAAAAUGCAUCAGAUGGUCACCAUCUAUGUUCAAAAACUAGGAAAACAAAAAAGCAGGUGCUUCCCGUGCACUUGUUUAAUUGCAGAGCACUCAACAUUCAAAUGUUCACGUCAGACAGCUAGGUCUCAAAAGGGAACAAAAAUUAAACAAAAAUGAAACAAGUGGGCUGCAUCACAACACUACUUUUUUGCUUUUUCCUUGUUGAAUGGAGUGAACCACAAGACUCCUUCAAGUGGGCUGCAUCAACCCAUCUACCAUGGCGAACUGCAAGCAGAAGCUACCACCUUUUCCUAUCAAAAAAAACUGCAAGAAGCUAGUGAACCUCAUGUCGGCGCCAGCCGAACUACACUGAAGAAUUAACAAACUUCAUUAGAAACUGAAUUCACUCAAAUCAACAGCAAUAAUAUGAAAAAAAUACACAAAAAUUAUUUUGUGAACUGCAAGCCCCUGUGUCAGACAUACCACGGUGGUGAGAGAGAGGCGCUCCCCGGGCUCCUUCUGGUGAAACCGCGCGCUGGAGAUGGUGACUGUGCGCAGCCAUCCAUGGAGAACAGUGGGGGAGGCAUUGUCGAUGGGAGACCAAAUCGAAGGGGAGGUCACCGGGUCUUGGUGGAAAGAGAUCCAGCAGGGGAUCGGCGGCGGCCUCCACCCCCGAGCCCGACCGCCGGAUACCGCGUUGUAUCGGCGGCGGCCCAAAAAUUCGAGGGGAGAGGAAGGGAGGCGCACCCUACUGCCGGUAGUCGGCGUCGCGGCAGAUCGAGGCGAGGGGACGGUCGACGAUGCCGGGGGAAGGGGAAGGAGAUGCGACGGUGCCCCUCGACCUCACCUGGAUCCUCCCCGGGGAAGGAUUGAGGGCCACGGAUCUGUGGCCUGCGAGAGGGUGGAGGGAGGGAAGGAGGUGCGCCGGGAGGUGGCGGGGUGAGGCAGGCGGGAGCAGAAGGGUCGGGAUGCGUUGCGGGUAGAAAGGCCGGGGCACCGGCAACGCGCAUGGAGGAUUGGCGGCUCGCCGGCAAAGUGCGGGGAGGCAGAGCGGGAGGUAGUAUGACCGAUGUGGAUGAAGGAAGUGGUGGCACCGGAGGAGCCCAGCAUGGCAUGGAGCUCGUCGGCCCUCCCAUCCGGCCACCACGCGCGGGAGGUGGUGGGUCGCAGCCGGAUCCGUCGGCUUGUGGCUACACCGAUGGCCAUUGCGUCCGGAUCCGGUGGUGGAGACCUUGCAGGAUUCGGUGGCGGCCGGCUCCCACCAUGGCGCCAGUGGUUGGAAGGGGUUGGACGCGGCGGCCAUGGGAGGUAGGUAGGUGUGCGCCGGCCGUGAGAGGGGGUUAGGGGCGCG